UCACUCUCCAGCGCUUUCGGGAUCGGACGCGCAUUCGUUCGUUCUUUAAUUCAAUCAUUCCACAGCAGAGGAGCGAGCGGCCUCGAUCGGUCUACAGUUUCCAGCUGUCACAUAUUGUUUUAUGGAACUAGUAGAUAUGAACCACUUUGAAAAGAUUGACAAACUAUUGAAUACUUUAGUGGACAGCCUAUUUGGGGAAAGAGAGAGAAAA
ensembl:lncRNA